UUUGUAUAUGGGAUUUGGGUUGGAAGUGUUUGUAUAUGUAAGUACUAGUAAGUACAUCAACUUCUUUGGAAAAUAACCAAAUUUAUUGAUUUAUUAUUUUGAUCAUUUCAUCAUAGUCCUCUUUAUAUAUAAUAUAUGAUCGAGGUGUAAAUUUUUUAUUUUUUAAUUCACCAUUUACUGGUUCAAAUGAGCAGAUUUUUGUUACGGCAUAAGGUUUAUUUAUGAAAUUCUCUAAUUUAUCAUUUAAAAUUAUAUAACCUUUUUCAAAAUCUAUUAAUGCACUUAGACUACUUAGUAACCCUGCACCUAUAAUGAACUGAUAUGAACGGUUGGCUAGUCUUCUGACUUUCCACCUGAACCGACAUCCUUCUGGAAGUCGUAACUCCUUUGGAGCAUGGGUAUGCACUUAAAAAUGAAUAGUGUCCUUACCCGUAAUGGUUGUAAAAUAAAUUGGUUUUAUCGCAAUCUUUUUAAAAUCAUUUAUUUUUUCGUCUAUUAUACUAAGUGAAGCGCCUGUAUCAAUUAAAGCUACAUAUUUAUUUGUUUCUAUCGUAAUUUGAAUUUUUCGGUAAAUCAUCCAAGGCUAGUUCUGAAAAAAAUGUUAUUUAUUUCAGAAAAUCCUGUCGUUUCGUAUCGGCUACUUUCUAUUGUGUCAAUUUCCAUAGGCUCAGCCUGUCCUUGCCUAGGCCAAUUCAAACGAUUUUGUCCUGAAUACUGUCUACGAAAAAAUUAUUAUUUCAAAAUUGUCCUAAGUUCUGAGGUUGCGUUAUUUGAUUGGAAUUAUUUCUAUGAUCAUUACGUUCAUAAUUGUUAUUUCGAUUAUAUUGCAUCUGUUGUUGAUUAUAAUUAGUUCUGAGGUUGAAAGGUCUGUCUUCAUUUGGUCGCGGUUGAUAUCUAUUUCGAUCUAACGUUUUUGUUGUUCACUUUAUCGUCCUUAGUUCUAUUAUAUUUCCUACAUUCUGGUCUGACGCAACUAUCCUCAUAUCUUCUUCUCGUCAUUAAUUCCAAAAUUCUUCCUAAGUCGUGUUCGUCAUAAAUUUUAUCAAAUAGUGUUUCUUGUGUCAUUUCUUUAAUAGUGUUCACUAAUAAAUUGUCCGUGUUGCUUAAGUCAAUACAGCCAUUACCCUCAUAAUAUACGAUUAAUUCAUCACUCUUAUAUUUAAUACUUGUAUUUUGUAUAUCUAUAGCUAGCUCACUUACAUUGUUUGCAUGAAUACUUGCUAUCCUUCGCUAUAUUUGGUGUGGUUCGGUGUCUGGUCUAUAUCUUAGUUCUAAUGUAGUUUUGAUUUGCCGCCAGUUAUCAGGAUCCUGGAUUCUCCUUGUAUAUUGCUGUAGUAAAUCGUCCGCACUGCUUCCCUUCUCAUCUCCUCGUUUGAUAUUGUCGACAGUAAAUACUCAACGCCUUUAAAAAAAUUAGUUCACUGUGAUGCCCCCUGCUCCUGUGAAUAUUGGCAUGUGUCCUAUGUUUUUUUAAUAUUUGGUCCCGUCUCCUGUUGUUGUCCUCUAUACUGCUGCUGCUCCAGCUGUUGUUCUCUUCUAGCCAGCUGCUCCACCAAGUCCACCGGUGCCAUUUUUUGAGCAUGUUCCUUCUUUUAGCAAACGCCUUUUGUCUUGAUGACCGAAUGUUGCUGCUUGUGGGUGGUGUUCACUUCUAUGUUCACUGCACUGCCACUUAUUUGAUUUUUGUCGUGGUGUUCACUUCUGUGUUCACUGCACUAUUACUUUAUUUGUUUUGUGUCGCGGUUUUUUGUUUUGUUUUGUUGUGGUGGCUGCCCUUUUUUCUAUUGACAUAAUAACACUGCACAAAAAUUAUUUUGUGGUGUUAAUUAUUCAUAACAAGGACUGCUGCACAAUUUAAAGUAAUUUAUUACUUAUUAAUUAAUUAUAUUCUGGAGGGUCCGGUCAAGGUCUUAUCCUUGGCUGCGGAAUUGCAGAACUAUUUUUGGGUAUUAUAUGUAAAACCUAAUAUUAAUAUUUUUUUUUUGCGAAGGGCUCGUUUCACUGGAUCCUUUAAUAUUUUUGUUCACUAGGAUCCCACCGACUGCGCCAAUUAUAUUUAGCGUCGCGACAAUAUUUUUGUUUUUUAAUAAAUAAACGAAUAUUUUGAUUAGCAGCGAACUAUCGCUGAAGAAUGUAGAAAUCAGACUAACUUUAUUGAAUAAUAUUUGUUACAACGAAAGUUCAUAGUUUACUCAACUUGAAAUAAAUUUACAAAGAAUGCUUAUUAAGUGAUUCGGUUAUUGAAUUUCACAAUUUUUUAUCAAUUCAAAGAAUUGGUACAGAAUAUAGCUUUGUUUUUAAUAUUUAAUAUUGUAUUAAUUCAUUUAUGCUACAUUACAGUGUAUUAACCCUUUUAUUAGUGAAAUCUUUAAGUAUCCGCACUUUGUACAUACAUUGUAUGAAAACUCUUGUUUACAUUCUUUUAUUUAUUGUAGGAAUGAAUUCACCUAUAUCGUCAGCAUUUUUGUUUAAUGAUUUUGAAGUGGCUAUAUAAUUAUCGACAAGUUUGUAUAUGGGAUUUGGGUUGGUAGUGUUUGCAUAUGUAAAUUGCGCGGAGCCACGUUGGCUGCUCAGGCGAAUCAAAGGCAUACCGGUUAUACUCAAAGACUAAAAAGCGUGUUAUUAUAAAUCGCGAUGUGAAGUUUAUCGUCAAAUCUGGUUUUCAUGGAACAUUUGACAGCAUUGAGCAUGAAAAUGAAAAAGACAUUGAAAACAAAAAUAAAAAGGACGUAAUGGUUAAAAAUAACAAAAUAGCGCGGUUGUGAAUAGUAACGAAAAUCUUGGACGUCAAUCAGGGCUUGGCCACCAUCUGGGCCGCUUCCCCGAGCUUUGACCACGACCGUUUGCGCUCGAUGUUGUCAUAAGUGACUCAUUUUUCAUCGCCAGUCACAAUCCGCUUCAGAAACGGGUCGAUUCUGCAGCGAUUUGCAGAUGGAAAUUCGGUCCAUCAUGUUUUUUGCGUUAGUUCGUGUGACACCCAAACAUCGAGCUUGGUUUCGAAUCCAAGGUUAUGCAAAUGGUUCCCAACGGUUUUCUGGCUUAUCUUUAGUUCCUCAGCAAUUAAAUAAGUGCUCACGUGACGGUCUGUUUCCACUAUUUCCAUGAUUUUAUCGCAAAUUUCGACGCGUGGUGCAUCUUUGACAUCGAAAUUACCGGAACGGAACCCAGCAAAUCACUUUUGUGUUACACGUUCGCUUACAGUAUCGGGCCCAUAAACUAAAUUAAUGUUUUCAGCCACUUUGCCUGCUUUUUCGCUUUGAUCGAAGAAAAAUUGUAAAAUAUAGCGAAUUUUCUCUUUGUUUGUGUCCAUCUUUGACGAGCGCUCACAACGAACUGAGUAAAUCAAUCGAAAAACUGUCAAAGACAAACUUUUAGCACGAAUAAACUCGUUUUUAGCGCCGUAUAGUAUGACAUGAUGCGACACGUAACACUAGUACUAUGGACAAUAACGCCAUCUCUUAGAUAAAAACCGAACGAACUUUUUACUUGAACUAAUAUCUUGUUUACUAGCGAUAUGCCUACGCCGGCAAACAGCACAAUUGCCGCAUUUGUCAAUGAUACCUGCAUCAUUACGACCGGCAAAAAUGAAGUAAAAUCGUUCAACAGAAUGCAAACCUUAAUUAACCAAAUAGUGGAAAGGACACAGAGAUGGUGCAUAACCUUAAACGAGAUGAAGUCAAUACAGGUAAACUACACUAACAAAAAGAUUAGACUUAUUCCCUUAUAUAUUCGAAAUGAAGUAAUCCCAUGCUCCAUCUCGGCGAAUUAUCUUUGCAUGACGCUGGAGGCAAAGCUGAACUGGAAAGAGCACACACAUAAAAAAAAUCGUACAGUACAGUAAACGUGAUAGAAGUGAAUACUUCUUUACCGAUUCAUUGAGAGUGAGCGUGAGAGAAUAAAAGAGAGGGAAAGAGAAAGAGAGAGUUGUAUUGUACGUAUUACAGGGAUAAUCGAAAUAAUAAGAUGUGGUAUAAAUAUAGCGGAUAUUAUGGCUAUACGGUAAAUGAAGUAUGAAACAGUUUAAAUAGUGUAGAUUUAUGAAGAAUAGAGAAUCAAUCGUUAUUCCUGAUUUAGUCGUGGCAAUUUUUCGGUCGUUAUUCAUGUAUGAAUCAAAGUUUUCUCGAAGCAAGUGAAGUAGGGGCAAGGACGCACCCUCCGAAAAUUUGAAAUUAAAGUCACCACCGAGAAUUAAUGACUUUUUGGACGCUUUUCCCUUAUCCUUUUGUCGAUAUAAUGCCAGCAGUCCUCAAUUGGAUUGAGAUCUGGACUGUUUCCUGGCCACGUGAGAGACUCAAUUCCAUAAAAAAAUUUAUGGUUUGUAACCUGUAAGUGUUUGUAAUGAAUUAUUGAAAAAUCUAUUUCAAUAUUUUUAUGCUUUAGUUACCGUUUUGACUCUAUGGCAACAAUCAUCCUGAAAAUAAACGGCUGUUCAAUAGUUAGUAAAAUGCCUUAUUUCAAAAUUUCAAUAUAUUUUUCGGCAUUCACAGAUCCCUUAAGAAUAAUAAGCUGCCCACCACAAAACUUGGUUAUUGCCUCCCAUACCAUUAAAUAGGGCGAAUGGUUUACAGUGGGUAAAACCAGAGAAUGUUGAAGAAUAGAGAAGGAGCAAAUGUUAGCAGUACUAAAAUGUUAAUUACGAUGGAGGAACAUCGAAAACGCGCAAGUUCGAAAAUAAAAUGUCACCACACCUGUCAAUUUACGCAACGAACUACACCACUCUAUAAGCAAAAUGUAUAUACAUACAUAUGCAGAGAUGUUUUUUGAUAUGCGCAUAAACAAAACUUAAAAUAAUAAAAAGGAAAAUAAUUGACUUAUGAAAAAGAAUGUAAAUAAUGAGGGAAAUAAAAUGAAAAUAGAAUUAAAAUAUCAUUUAAUAAAAAAGGGUUAUAAAAAUAAAAAAAGAGUAUAAAAAAAUAUCUGAUAGGAUUU